CUUUAAUAUUUACUUUUUCAGGAAAGGUUGAAUAUUUCUUGAAAUAUAAAGAUAUUGUAAAGAUGGUGAGAGAGGCUGCAAAAUGCAGACAAUUUCUGGAGCGAAACAAUGAAGUUGACAACAAAAUGGGAGACUUCUACUCCAGCUGGGUACAGCCAUUAAAUGCUAUUAUCAACAGCUGAUAAACAGCUGAUUAACAGCGGAUAUAAAAAUGUUCUGUCUAUCUCAACUAAAAUUUAAACAUGUAAAUUUUUUCUUCCUAGACCUCAUACUUUUUAGGUUACAAUCACUUUUUUGAUUAGUCGAAAAUCGAUUUCUCGGAUUUUUAAAAUUUUUUUUUUGUUCUAUUUUAUUUUCUUAAAAAGAAAGUUGUUGGUCUAAGGUUUCCUUUUUUAGCCAAAAUUUUUGAUCAUCAAUAAUUUCUGAGCUGAAGCAAUUUAAAAAUAAAAUUAGCUUUAAAAAAAUAAAUAUUAGAAAGCUACGGUUUUUCUUUUGUCCGUAAGAAUUUUGCCCAGUCCGCAAACAUUAUCUAAAAAAUAUUUCUUUUUUGGAAAUGAAUUGGUAUACAUUCCUCGCUUUUUUAUCAAAAAUAUUCAAUCCAAUCUGCAGGACAAACACUUUUCAAUUUUUAGAGUUUUGGCUCUUAAGCAGUGGUUUUAACAAAAAAUUAUGAGACCUAGAAAGAAAAAUGUAAAUCUUGAAAUAACUAAAAGAAAGAGCUUUCUAAUCACGCUAUUAUUGUGAAAAUUAAACAAAAAUUGUUCCCUCACCACCCAAUACCCCUACUGAAAAGUUUUUUUUGGGACACACUGUAUUUUUUCUAAAAAUAUGAAAACUGUAUUAAAAGAUUUAAUGUGUCUCCGGUUGUGUAACAUGGUGAAAUAAACAAAUACCAAAAAAUGUCAACCCUAAAUUUAAUCAAUAAACGUUUUUAAAAAAUA